rnacentral:rRNA from 1 species
CCUACGGGUGUCAGCAGUGGGGAAUAUUGCACAAUGGGGGAAACCCUGAUGCAGCGACGCCGCGUGAGCGAUGAAGUAUUUCGGUAUGUAAAGCUCUAUCAGCAGGGAAGAAAAUGACGGUACCUGACUAAGAAGCCCCGGCUAACUACGUGCCAGCAGCCGCGGUAAUACGUAGGGGGCAAGCGUUAUCCGGUUUUACUGGGUGUAAAGGGAGCGUAGACGGUCCUGCAAGCCAGAUGUGAAAGCCCGGGGCUCAACCCCCGGACUGCUCUGGAAACUGUACGGCUGGAGUGCAGGAGAGGUAAGUGGAAUUCCUAGUGUAGCGGUGAAAUGCGUAGAUAUUAGGAGGAACACCAGUGGCGAAGGCGGCUUACUGGACUGUAACUGACGUUGAGGCUCGAAAGCGUGGGGAGCAAACAGGAUUAGAUACCCUAGUAGUC